rfam:Ovis aries breed Texel chromosome 5, whole genome shotgun sequence.
UCCCUGGUGGUCCAGUGGUUAAGACUCUGAGCUUCCACUGUAGGGGGCACAGGUUCGAUCCCUGGCUAGGGAA